rnacentral:misc_RNA from 1 species
AAGUCGUAACAAGGUUUCCGUAGGUGAACCUGCGGAAGGAUCAUUAACACGUAUCCACGUAUCAACCAACUGUGAACUUGUUCUCAACCCUCCCUGCCGGCGAGAUGAAUUGGAAUCGAGUGUGAGUAUGAAUGGAACGAUCACGCGUAAGCGAGAGAGUUCAUCACACGAGACCAUCUGGAAGCAAUUCCUAACAAUUGUACUCGCUGCGUCAGGCCAACCCUUUCUGCUUCAUCAGAUCGUCGCUCAUCGAUCUGCGAGUGGAAUACAACACACACCUUUCACCCCCUUUUUGCUAGUUGACUUUUAUAUGUUGUCUGAUUCAUACUUAAUUGUAUGGGCCAUUCACACGUUUAUUAUUUGAACGUUAAAAUUACAACUCUUAGCAAUGGAUAUCUUGGUUCUC